CGCGCUUGGCACAGAGGGAAAAAAACAACGCGCCUCUAUUGUUGAGGGUGCCUUGUACCUGGGCCGAGAAGUGCGGCGGAGCUGAGACCCCGCGGGAGGGACCCCGGCUCCGGGCUGGGCUCGGGGGGUUUGGGGAGGAACAUCCAGCCUGGGGCCGGCAGUGCGCGGAGGAGGAGGAGGAGGAGGAGGAAAGUGGUGGGGCAGGGUAAUGCGUGGAGAAGCAGCGUCGCUUAUACAAGAUGUUGAUGGAAUUUACUAUAUUAUUAAAGGAAAAAAAAAAUCCCCUUUCAAGAAUAAAGUGUAUCAACUUACAACACAACAGACGGCAGAGGGAUAAGUGAAACAGACAAAAGACAAACAAGAUAAUAAUCUGUUUCCAAUCAGUUAAGCCCUGUAGAAUUUGUAAUACGCGGUUUGCAUAUUCCCCCUGUGUUUUGUAAUUAAUUAUCUAUCUGUUCGGAUGCUCCGCCGCCGACUCUGUAGAUAUUCCCAACUAUUUUUGGGGGUUGUAGGCGCCGGGGAAGGAGCGCGGAGCGGGGCCGGGCUCCGCGGCUCCGGCCGGCCCGAGGAUGCCGAGCCGGGCACGGGGGGAGGCGGCGGCUCCUCCGGCCGGCCGAGGCUGCUCCCCCCGCGCUCCCCUCCUUUCCCCUGCUAAGAGGGGGGACGGGGCAGGUUUUAACAUUAAACAAACCCAGCAAGCAUCUCCUCGCCGGGCCAUAGGCGUUUCUGAGUGACUGCGUUACAAAUUGUAAAUUUAAAUAGCUCACAGGA